UUGAUAAUCUCUUUGCAGUCU
rnacentral:miRNA from 1 species